CUCUAAACCUACAGGUCUCACUCCCUCUAAACCUACAGGUCUCACUCCCUCUAAACCUACAGGUCUCACUCCCUCUAAACCUACAGGUCUCACUCCCUCUAAACCUACAGGUCUCACUCCCUCUAAACCUACAGGUCUCACUCCCUCUAAACCUACAGGUCUCACUCCCUCUAAACCUACAGGUCUCACUCCCUCUAAACCUACAGGUCUCACUCCCUCUAAACCUACAGGUCUCACUCCCUCUAAACCUACAGGUCUCACUCCCUCUAAACCUACAGGUCUCACUCCCUCUAAACCUACAGGUCUCACUCCCUCUAAACCUACAGGUCUCACUCCCUCUAAACCUACAGGUCUCACUCCCUCUAAACCUACAGGUCUCACUCCCUCUAAACCUACAGGUCUCACUCCCUCUAAACCUACAGGUCUCACUCCCUCUAAACCUACAGGUCUCACUCCCUCUAAACCUACAGGUCUCACUCCCUCUAAACCUACAGGUCUCACUCCCUCUAAACCUACAGGUCUCACUCCCUCUAAACCUACAGGUCUCACUCCCUCUAAACCUACAGGUCUCACUCCCUCUAAACCUACAGGUCUCACUCCCUCUAAACCUACAGGUCUCACUCCCUCUAAACCUACAGGUCUCACUCCCUCUAAACCUACAGGUCUCACUCCCUCUAAACCUACAGGUCUCACUCCCUCUAAACCUACAGGUCUCACUCCCUCUAAACCUACAGGUCUCACUCCCUCUAAACCUACAGGUCUCACUCCCUCUAAACCUACAGG